rnacentral:lncRNA from 1 species
AAAAUAACUCUCUUAAAGGUUAUUGUAAGACUUAGAUAAGUGUUUAAUACUGGAUGCUGAAAAUGUAAAUUCUCCUCAAAUAAAUGCCACGACACUUCAACCAGAGUAAGUGGUAGAAUCUGGGGACUGGCUUAACAAACUUAUUCUAACAUGCGGGUGAAAUAAUAAACAUCCAUCAAUUCCUAAGACAGUUUUGAAAAAGAGGAAAUAGAGGCUUCCCCCUGCUGGGUGCUGCAAAUGUGCUACAAGAGCCUGCAAAUGUGGUGAGUGCAUUCCUGGUGUGGGAUCAAUGAGAUCAAUACAACACCGCGGAUUACAGGAAUCCCUCGUCCCCUGCAUUGGUUCUGUUCUGAGAGAGGUGGCGAGCACAUCAGCAGAGAAUGGAUGGUGUGUGCGUCCACGGGUGCUAGGUGGGAAAUGGGCUUGCUACUGGAGAAAAACAAUCCAGAUCUCUAUCUUCUGUCAUGUUCAAGAAUCAGCUUGGAUUGUACAUCUACAGGGGAAGAUGAAGGUGAUUUUUUUUGUGUGUGUGCGUGCGUGCGUGUGUGUGUGUGUUUUCUGAAAAGACUUUUUAAGCAUUACUAACAUAGUACAGAUUACAAAGGGAAAAAUGGAUGGAUGUGACCACAUUAAGAAUUUCUGCUUAGUAAAAGAUACCGCAGACCAAGGUAACCAAUUGGUGAUAGAAUUGCAGAUAAGGCUUAGAACCGACAAGGAGAUGAGAAUAUGGCGGGAUGACCACAAACCAAGAAGGAAAAGACAGGAAGCUCUUCAGGACAUUGGGCAAAGGAUGAAUUCGCCGGAGACUCCCAGGCUUAUGGAGAGAUGUGCAAACCCACUUAGUGCCCAGAGACACACGGGACAACACUAGAGGCUGCUUUUCACCCAUCAGGUUAGCAGCCACUGGAAGGCAGGAUGCUCCCAGUGUCGGAGGGCUGUGGGAGCAAGAGGUCUCAAGACUUCUGCAAACUGGACAUCCUGGAGGGCAGCCUGGCCUCUCUUUUUGAAAUUAUUCACACGCCCUGUAUUUCAGCAAACCCACUGCUGGGUAUGUGUCCCAGAGAAAUUAAUGGAAAAUAAUAUGCGGGAACAUGAACAAGGAUGCCCAUGGCAGUAUUAUUUGCGUUUGCAGAGAGUUGUCUAUCCCACACACCCUUCACUGGGAGAAUUGGGAAGAAAUAAAUAAUAAUGUAGCUAGAGUUUUUUAAAGCACUUAUUAGGUGCCAAGUUUUUCUCAACUAUUAGGAUAUAUUAAAACUUAUUAAAUCUUGUAACAUAGGCCCUUUUUGCUGUCUGAUUUUAUGUAUUAGGAACCUGAGGCACAGAGCGGUUAAGUAAGCUGCCCAAGGUCAC